CCCUUAGAUGUUCUGGGCAGCACGCGCGCUACAAUGGUCUUCGCAAACGGAUGCAUUCUCGAAGGAGAAUGCCAAUCUUGGAAUCUAUGCCUUGGUCGGGACAGUUGCUUGCAAUUUUUCGACUCGAACCAGGAAUUCCUUGUAAUCGUGAUUCAUCACAUCACGAUGAAUACGUCCCUGCCCUUUGUACACACCGCCCGUCGCUCCUACCGAUCGAAGAGUUAGGUGAAUUGUUUUGAUCGAUAAGAUUGACUAUGGUCAACUCUCGUUGUGAAAUUCUGUGAAUCUGACUGUUUAGAGGAAGGAAAAGUCGUAACA
rnacentral:rRNA from 1 species